UACAGAGGGUGCGAGCGUUAAUCGGAAUUACUGGGCGUAAAGCGUGCGUAGACGGUUAUUUAAGUCGGAUGUGAAAGCCCCGGGCUCAACCUGGGAAUUGCAUUCGAGACUGAAUAGCUAGGGUACGGUAGAGGGAAGCGGAAUUUCCGGUGUAGCGGUGAAAUGCGUAGAUAUCGUGAGGAAGACCAGUGGCGAAGGCGGGUCUCUGGACAGUUCCUGACGCUGAGGCGCGAAGGCCAGGGGAGCAAACGGG
rnacentral:rRNA from 1 species